GCCAGUGUGGCACAGUGGCUUGAGUAUUGGGGUAUGAUUCUGGAGACCAGGGUUCGAAUCCCAGCUCAGCCA